rnacentral:tRNA from 1 species
GCUGCGACAGCUCAGUUGGUAGAGCAUGAGACUUUUAAUCUCAGGAUCGUGGGCUUGAGCCCCAUGUUGGGCA